CAAAUACUCCCUCCGUCCGAAAAUACUUGUCAUCAAAAUGGAUAAAAGGAAAUGUAUCUAGACGUAUUUUAGUUUUAGAUACAUCUCUUUUUAUCCGUUUUGAUGACAAGUAUUUUCGGACGGAGGGAAUAGAAA
rnacentral:pre_miRNA from 1 species